GAUGAACGCUGACAGAAUGCUUAACACAUGCAAGUCGACUCGAGUCUUCGGACUUGGGUGGCGCACGGGUGAGUAACGCGUAAAGAACUUGCCUCUUAGACCGGGACAACAUCUGGAAACGGAUGCUAAUACCGGAUAUUAUGGUUUUUUCGCAUGGAGGAAUCAUGAAAGCUGGAUGCGCUAAGAGAGAGCUUUGCGUCCCAUUAGCUAGUUGGUGAGGUAACGGCCCACCAAGGCAAUGAUGGGUAGCCGGCCUGAGAGGGUGAACGGCCACAAGGGGACUGAGACACGGCCCUUACUCCUACGGGAGGCAGCAGUGGGGAAUAUUGGACAAUGGACCACAAGUCUGAUCCAGCAAUUCUGUGUGCACGAUGACGUUUUUCGGAAUGUAAAGUGCUUUCAGUCGGGAAGAAGUCAGUGACGGUACCGACAGAAGAAGCGACGGCUAAAUACGUGCCAGCAGCCGCGGUAAUACGUAUGUCGCAAGCGUUAUCCGGAUUUAUUGGCCGUAAAGCGCGUCUAGGCGGCAAGGAAAGUCUGAUGUGAAAAUGCGGAGCUCAACUCCGUAUGGCGUUGGAAACUGCCUUACUAGAGUACUGGAGAGGUAGGCGGAACUACAAGUGUAGAGGUGAAAUUCGUAGAUAUUUGUAGGAAUGCCGAUGGGGAAGCCAGCCUACUGGACAGAUACUGACGCUAAAGCGCGAAAGCGUGGGUAGCAAACAGG
rnacentral:rRNA from 1 species